AGCUUUUUACUCUUUGUUCGAUUGAAUGAGAAAAAGUACUCGUCACAAAGUUAUAUUGUUAGGGCGGAACUGAGUAGUCAUUUUUUGUUCCGGUUUUGGUUCUUGUGAAGGUUGACAUCGAUUCGUUCCAAAUUUACACUCUUAGGGCACAAUAGAACAAUAUAAUUAGCUUUUACUCUUUGUUCGAUUAAAUGAGAAAAAGUACUCGUUGCAAAGUUAUACAGUUAGGGCGUAACUGAGUAGUCUACAUUUGUUCCGGUUUAGGUUCUUUCGAAGGUUGACAUCCAUUCGUUCCAUAUUACACUCUCGCGGUAUAAUAAAACAAUAUAAUUAGAUUUUACUCUUUGUUCGAUUGAAUGAGAAAAAUUACUCGUUCCAAAUUUAUGCUGUUUGGCCGCAAUUGAGUAGCUUAAUGUUGUUCCGGUUUUCGUUCUUGUGAAG
rnacentral:lncRNA from 1 species